rnacentral:ncRNA from 1 species
UUGCACUACCUAUCAUUGUCAAGCAGAACUCACCAAGUGUUUACUCACUAAUAGGAACGUAUGUGAGCUGGAUUUAGACCGUCAUGAGACAGGUU